rnacentral:siRNA from 1 species
CUGGUGAAGAAGGUGUCUUCCCA